GAUGAACGCUGGCGGCGUGCCUAAUACAUGCAAGUCGAGCGAACAGACGAGGAGCUUGCUCCUCUGACGUUAGCGGCGGACGGGUGAGUAACACGUGGAUAACCUACCUAUAAGACUGGGAUAACUUCGGGAAACCGGAGCAAAUACCGGAUAAUAUAUUGAACCGCAUGGUUCAAUAGUGAAAGACGGUUUUGCUGUCACUUAUAGAUGGAUCCGCGCCGCAUUAGCUAGUUGGUAAGGUAACGGCUUACCAAGGCAACGAUGCGUAGCCGACCUGAGAGGGUGAUCGGCCACACUGGAACUGAGACACGGUCCAGACUCCUACGGGAGGCAGCAGUAGGGAAUCUUCCGCAAUGGGCGAAAGCCUGACGGAGCAACGCCGCGUGAGUGAUGAAGGUCUUCGGAUCGUAAAACUCUGUUAUUAGGGAAGAACAAAUGUGUAAGUAACUAUGCACGUCUUGACGGUACCUAAGCAGAAAGCCACGGCUAACUACGU
rnacentral:rRNA from 1 species